rnacentral:rRNA from 1 species
CAAGACCUUGCGCUGAAGGAGCGGCCGGUGUCUGAUUAGCUUGUUGGUGAGGUAAAGGCUUACCAAGGCAACGAUCAGUAGUUGGUCUGAGAGGACGGCCAACCACACUGGGACUGAGACACGGCCCAGACUCCUACGGGAGGCAGCAGUGGGGAAUUUUGGACAAUGGGCGAAAGCCUGAUCCAGCCAUGCCGCGUGAGUGAAGAAGGCCUUCGGGUUGUAAAGCUCUUUCAGUCGGAAAGAAAAGAUCAUGACUAAUACUCAUGAUUCAUGACGGUACCGACAGAAGAAGCACCGGCUAACUACGUGCCAGCAGCCGCGGUAAUACGUAGGGUGCGAGCGUUAAUCGGAAUUACUGGGCGUAAAGGGUGCGCAGGCGGUCUUGCAAGUCGGAUGUGAAAGCCCCGGGCUUAACCUGGGAAUU